rnacentral:misc_RNA from 1 species
GGCUUGUUGGUUCAAAUUGGAAAAGAAGCAAUUCCUCCUGAUGUUGUUCCUACGAUUUUGGCUUCUCGAGAUCGCAGAGAGCUUGCGAAGUAUGCUUCGGGAGUUCCUCCACAGGGGCUCUGUCUUGUGAGUGUUAAUUAUAAAGAGGACCAUUUAAAGCUUCCAUCUGAUUGCCCUGGGACUAGUUGUGGUAGGAGUCGUAGUGUGAGCAAAUGUAAACUCCCUUUUU